AGGGAGGAAGGCUCUUGGGUUGUAAACCUCUUUUCUCAGGGAAGAAGCUCUGACGGUACCUGAGGAAUCAGCCUCGGCUAACUCCGUGCCAGCAGCCGCGGUAAUACGGAGGAGGCAAGCGUUAUCCGGAAUUAUUGGGCGUAAAGCGUCCGCAGGUGGCGAUUCAAGUCUGCUGUCAAAGCMCGGGGCUUAACUYCGUUAAGGCAGUGGAAACUGAAUAGCUAGAGUGCCGUAGGGGUAGAGGGAAUUCCCGGUGUAGCGGUGAAAUGCGUAGAGAUCGGGAAGAACAUCGGUGGCGAAAGCGCUCUACUGGACSGCAACU
rnacentral:rRNA from 1 species